AAGCUAGUAAGGUCACUUGCAGACUACAAGUUUGAUAGGUCGGAGGUGUAAGCACAGUAAUGUGUUCAGCUGACCGAUACUAAUUGACCGAGGGCUUGAACUU
rnacentral:ncRNA from 1 species